GGAACCUGGAAGCCUAGGCAGGCAGUGGGGAACUCUGACUCGCCUGUGCUCUGGAGCUUGAUCCGAAAGCUUCCACAGUGAGGACUGCUCCGUGGGGGUAAGAGAGCACCAGGCACUGAGGCCUGGGAGUUCCACAGACCAACACCCCUGCUCCUGGCGGCUCCCACCCGGGACUUAGACCCUCAGGUCCCUAAUAUCCCGGAGGUGCUCUCAAUCAGAAAGGUCCUGCUCCGCUUCGCAGUGGAAUGGAACGGAUUUAGAAGCCUGCAGUAGGGGAGUGGGGAGUGGAGAGAGGGAGCCCAGAGUUACAGACGGCGGCGAGAGGAAGGAGGGGCGUCUUUAUUUUUUUAAGGCCCCAAAGAGUCUGAUGUUUACAAGACCAGAAAUGCCACGGCCGCGUCCUGGCAGAGAAAAGGCUGAAAUGGAGGACCGGCGCCUUCCUUAUAAGCUCGUUGGGGCCUAAGCCAGUACCGACCUGGUAGAAAAAGCAACCACGAAGCUAGAGAGAGAGCCAGAGGAGGGAAGAGAGCGCCAGACGAAGGUGAAAGCGAACCACGCAGAGAAAUGCAGGCAAGGGAGCAAGGCGGCAGUUCCCGGAACAAACGUGGCAGAGGGCAAGACGGGCACUCACAGACAGAGGUUUAUAUGCCUUAUGGAGUAUAUACUCACAUGUAGCUAAAUAGACUCAGGACUGCACAUUCCUUGUGUAGGUUGUGUGUGUGUGGUGGUUUUAUGCAUAAAUAAAGUUUUACAUGUGGU
rnacentral:lncRNA from 1 species